CAAGUCGCACGGGAGCAGCAAUGCUCUAGUGGCGCAAGGGUGAGUAAUGUAUCGCUAACGUACCCUGGACGCUGGGAUAGCUGCCCGAAAGGGCAGGUAAUACCAGAUGAAAUAUCCGGCCCGCAUGGGUUGGAUCUCAAAGGAGCAAUCCGGUCUGGGCGCGGGCGAUAUCGUAUCAGCUAGUUGGUGAGGUAACGGCUCACCAAGGCGACGACGCGUAGCCGGACUGAGAGGUCGGUCGGCCACAUCGGGACUGAGACACUGCCCGGACUCCUACGGGGGGCUGCAGUAACGAAUCUUCCCCAAUGGGCGCAAGCCUGAGGGAGCGACGCCGCGUGGAGGAUGAAGUCCUUCGGGAUGUAAACUCCUGUCAGGGGUUACCAAGUUCUGAGGAGCCCCAAAGGAAGAGGCGGCUAACUCUGUGCCAGCAGCCGCGGUAAGACAGAGGCCUCAAGCGUUAGGCGGAAUCACUGGGCUUAAAGCGUGUGUAGGCGGAUCGUUUAGUGCCUUGUGAAAUCCCACGGCUUAACUGUGGAACGGCUGGGCAUACUGGCGGUCCUGAGCCAUCUAGGGGCGACUGGAACAAACGGUGGAGCGGUGAAAUGCGUAGAUAUCGUUUGGAACGCCAAUGGUGAAAACAGGUCGCUGGGGAUGCGCUGACGCUGAGACACGAAAGCCAGGGGAGCAAACGGGAUUAGAUACCCCGGUAGUCCUGGCCCUAAACGAUGUCCACUAGAUCAUGGUUCCUCUGACGGAUUCAUGGUCGAAGCAAAAGUGCUAAGUGGACCGCCUGGGAAGUA
rnacentral:rRNA from 1 species